rnacentral:rRNA from 1 species
UGCCCACUAGCUAGCUCACCAUAACAAUACAACACACCCCUAUUAAUACCCCUAAACAUACCCACACUACCAAAUAAACCAUUCUUCCCCCAAAGUACGGGCGACGAAAAAGGAUCUAGAAGCAAUAGAAAAAGUACCGCAAGGGAAAGCUGAAAGAGAAAUGAAACAAUGCAGUCAAGCACAAAAAAGCAGAGACCCCACCUCGUACCUUUUGCAUCAUGAUUUAGCAAGAAAUAUUUAAGCAAAAAGAAUUAUAGUUUAAUUCCCCGAAACUAAGGGAGCUACUCCAAGACAGUCUAUUUCAGGACACCCCCGUCUCUGUGGCAAAAGAGUGGGAAGAGCUUUGAGUAGAGGUGACAGACCUACCGAACUUAGUUAUAGCUGGUUGCCUGAAAAUUGAAUAGUAGUUCAGCCCUUCAGAUUCUUCUCUCACCCAUACACCACUCACCUAGACAACAAGAACUUUAAAGGAGUAAGUCAAAGGAGGUACAGCCCCUUUGAAACAAGAUACAACUUUCCCAGCAAGAUAAAGAUCAUAUUUACUCAAGGCAAAUGCCCCCGUGGGCCUAAAAGCAGCCAUCUGACCAGAAAGCGUUAAAGCUCGGGCAUAGUAAAACCUUCAAUAAUGACAAUUCAUCUUAAUCCGCUAAACUUAUCAGGCUAUUCCACUUUAUGGAAGAAAUUAUGCUAAAACGAGUAAUAAGAAAGGUUAAGCCUUUCUCCAAGCACGCGCAUAUAUCGGAACGAACCCCCACCGAAAAUUAACGACCCCAAAAUAAGAGUGACCUGGAUAAAAAACAAGAAACCAGAAAACCAUCCAACAAACCAUCGUUAACCCCACACUGGUGUGCCCCACAGGAAAGACUAAAAGAAGAGGAAGGAACUCGGCAAACAAAAGCCUCGCCUGUUUACCAAAAACAUCGCCUCUUGAAACAUUAAACAUAAGAGGUCCCGCCUGCCCAGUGACUAUGGGUUCAACGGCCGCGGUAUUUUGACCGUGCUAAGGUAGCGCAAUCACUUGUCUUUUAAAUGAAGACCCGUAUGAAUGGCACCACGAGGGCUUAACUGUCUCCCUCUUCCUGUCAAUGAAACUGAUCUCCCCGUGCAGAAGCGGGGAUUACUACACAAGACGAGAAGACCCUAUGGAGCUUCAGGCUCCUGAACAGACUAUGUUAAACAUUCUCCCACAAGAGGCUAAACUUAUUAGACGCUGUUCCAAUGCCUUUGGUUGGGGCGACCACGGGGAAAGAAAAACCCCCAUGUGGAAUAGGAAUAUACCCUCCCACAACCCAGAGUUGCAACUCUAAGUACCAGAACAUCUGACCAAUAAAUGAUCCGGCAUCGCCGAUCAACGAACCGAGUUACCCUAGGGAUAACAGCGCAAUCCCCUUUUAGAGCCCGUAUCAACAAGGGGGUUUACGACCUCGAUGUUGGAUCAGGACAUCCUAUUGGUGCAACCGCUAUUAAGGGUUCGUUUGUUCAACGAUUAAAGUCCUACGUGAUCUGAGUUCAGACCGGAGCAAUCCAGGUCAGUUUCUAUCUAUGAAAUGCUCUUUUCUAGUACGAAAGGACCGAAAAGAGGGGGCCCAUGUCCUAGACAUGCCCCCUCCUUACCUAGUGAAGCCAACUAAAAUAGGUAAGAGGACAUAUCCCAAAGCUAUAGAAAAUAGCAU